AGUGAACGCUGGCGGUAGGCCUAACACAUGCAAGUCGAACGGCAGCACAGGAGAGCUUGCUCUCUGGGUGGCGAGUGGCGGACGGGUGAGGAAUACAUCGGAAUCUACUCUGUCGUGGGGGAUAACGUAGGGAAACUUACGCUAAUACCGCAUACGACCUACGGGUGAAAGCAGGGGACCUUCGGGCCUUGCGCGAUUGAAUGAGCCGAUGUCGGAUUGGCUAGUUGGCGGGGUAAAGGCCCACCAAGGCGACGAUCCGUAGCUGGUCUGAGAGGAUGAUCAGCCACACUGGAACUGAGACACGGUCCAGCCUCCUACGGGAGGCGGCAGUGGGGAAUAUUGGACAAUGGGCGCGAGCCUGAUCCAGCCAUACCGCGUGGGUGAAGAAGGCCUUCGGGUUGUAAAGCCCUUUUGUUGGGAAAGAGAUCCAGCUGGCUAAUACCCGGUUGGGAUGACGGUACCCAAAGAAUAAGCACCGGCUAACUUCGUGCCAGCAGCCGCUGUAA
rnacentral:rRNA from 1 species